GGCAACUUGGCCGAGUGGUCUAAGGCGCUGGAAUUAGGUUACUUCAAAACCAUCCAGUCCUCCGGGGCGUGAGUUCGAACCUCACAGUUGUCA